rnacentral:lncRNA from 1 species
AAGUCUCGUCACAAAAUCAAAAAUGAAACAAAUCCAGCAUUUGAAGAGUACGUAGACUUGCAGUUUGGCUGCUUCACCUGUUGGAGGUCGCAAUCUGCUGGGUCCCAUCCCCAGGCCCCAGUUCCAGUCACACCCUCAGUCCCAGUCUUGUCCAGCCCCAGUCUUGUCCCAGUCUUGUUCCAGUCCCAGUCUUGGCCCAGCCCCAGUCUUGUCCCAGUCCCAGUCUUGUCCCAGUCCCAGUCUUGUCCCAGCCCCAGUCUUGGCCCAGCCCUAGUCUUAUCCCAGUCUUGUCCCAGUCCCAGUCUUGUCCCAGUCCCAGUCUUGUUCCAGCCCCAGUCUUGUCCCAGUCUUGUUCCAGUCCCAGUCUUGUCCCAGUUUUGUGGUGUGGUGUCAGAUAUUAGUGGUAAUAUAAUGUGUGGUGUCAGAUAUGAGUGGUAAUAGAAUGUGUGGUGUCAGAUAUGAGUGGUAAUAGAGUGUGUGGUGUGGUGUCAGAUUUAGUGGUAAUAGAGAGUGUGGUGUCAGAUGUUAGUGGUAAAGAGUGUGUGGUGUGGGGUCAGAUAUUAGGAAUAGAAUGUGUGGUGUCAGAUGUUAGUGGUAAUAGGAUGUGUGGUGUCAAUUUAGUUGUAUAGAGUUUGGUUGUCAGAUAUUAUGGUAAUAGAGGUGUGUGGGUGUGGUGUCAGAUAUUAGUGGUAAUAGAGUGGGUGGUGUGGUGACAGAUAUUGGUGAUAUAGAAUAUGUGGAGUCAGAUAUUUAGGGGGUAAUGUGUGGUGG